GGGGAUAUAGCUCAGUUGGUAGAGUGCUUGCCUUGCAUGCAUGAGGCCCUGGGCUCAAUCCCCAGCACCA
rnacentral:tRNA from 1 species